GUUUGCGGCUUGUCAAAAGAGUUUGUAGUUUACGGCGUGUAAGUCAUAUAAAGGCACCAGAUGGACACAUCUUGAGGGUAAAAUCUCUCUAUGCCGUGGGAACAAGACAGUAAACAGGGUAUAUUUUUAAUGAAGUACUUUCGACAGAGAUCAUGUGGCCUGAUUUAAUGCAGAUUUUAACAGUAACUUCAAUAUGGAUGAUACCAGUAGUAUUGUCUUUAGAAAUUCCUGAAUCACAAAUGGAUGAAACGUUAAGUGAUGUGGAUUAUUACGAUUUAGUAAAAGUGGCUAACGAUGGUGAUGAUCGGCCUCCAUCGAUCAAUAUACCAGAUGUCUUCAAUAACGCCUAUGCUCGAAACACAUUAAUGCAAGUUGGAUUAACAAGGGUUUAUGAUGCCUUCAGACAAAAGAAAAGUAAAUUUCCAAAUCAUCAUGAACGAAGAGUUAUCGUUGGAGGUAUUUGCUGUAAUGGAAAAAGGCAAGACCCGAAGAUGAGAGCGAGGGUUAUUCGGCGAACUAUCUUAAUGAAGCUGUUGCAGCAGUUACGCAAAGCCACUGAAGCACAAGAAGAAAUGUAUGAUCAAAUGGAAUGGGAGAACCCUUUUUUUUAAUUAAAUUAAAUGGCAGAUGAAACCGGUCGAGACUAAAAUUUAUAUUGUAAACAAAGGAUUAUUAUUAAAG